AAGCACAGCAGAAGCAACUGAGCUGCCCUGGCAGCUCUGAAAAGCAGAAAAAGAAAAUAAAAAGGAGAGGUCAGCGUGAGCCUCGGGGAGACAGCAGAAAUAGGGCAGCGGGGAGAGAGGCGAACGUGGAAAGGAAAGCAGAAGAAGAAGGCGCAGGGGAGAGGACUGAGCAAGCUGCCUUGCGCAGCGUGAGCCUCGGGGAGGAGAAAAACAGAAGCAGCAAGCUGCCUUCUCUCUCGGUUAAAUCUUUCCAAACUUAUAUUUUAUUUCUAUUUUAAUAAUGUGUAACUAAAUUUAUUUUGGCUAGAGGUUAAUUCAAAGCCAUGAAUAUAUUUGUAAUAUGAAUUGAUUACCUUCAGUUGUGAUUUCUGAGUUGUGAUUUAAUUUGCUUAACUGCUUGAUUGAUAACUUAUUUUUGUAUGUCGAUUAAGAAUGCAUACUUAAUUUACAUGCAUGAAUUUGAUGCUAGAAUAUAAGUGAAUUUCACCUAAUCGUUAUGAAUUUAUAUUCACAAGUAGUGAAGGUUGUUAUCCACAAUCGUGUUAAGUGAAUUCUAGGCUGGAUUAACAUGCGUAUUCCAUAGUUAUGAAUGCCUAGUCAAUGUUUAUGAUUUCCGUUGAACUUAAUGAUCUUUGUUGAAUGUCUCUAUCAUGCGUAUUCCAUAGUUAGGGACUUUGAUGAGGAAUAAUUUGGUUGUAAUGCGUAUUCCAUUCAAUCCAAUGAAUCUAGGGAAAUCUAAGAGUUAAUUUAAGCGGACCUAAAUAAUUUGGAACAUUGUCAUUCACAAUUUAUUGAAAGAACAACUGAAAAUCAAUUUAGGUUGCAUAUGUGUCAUGUGUGGAGAAAAACCCUCUAGCUAGUCCGUCAUCUAUCCUUUCACCUUAAUUUCAUGCUUUUGUCAAUUCUGUAAUAUAUUUAAGUUUAAUUUACUUCUCGUCAAUACCAAACCCCCCCCCCAUUAUUAAAUUAUAUUAUUUAGUUAGUUUUCAUUGUUGUUAGUCUUUUAAUUCAAUUUCCGUCCAUUUCAAUUCCUAGUGUCUAAUUUGAUUGUUUUCAUUAUUUUGAGUCAUUUUAAGUGUGUUUCGAGUUAUUAGAGUUUUUAGCCUAGUUUUGUGUCCUUGAGUCUUGUUUAAUAUUUUUUACAUUAAUUUAGAAUAGAUUAGCAAUCCCUCCUAAUCCCCGGCCUAGAACGAUACCCUACUUACAUCUAUACUACAAUUGUCAACAAGAGGGUUUAAUUUGUGUGCUUAUAAUAUUUCGCAUCACAUUUUGGCGCCGUUGCCGGGGAUUAGCAACUUUGCUAAUCCAUUGGUUCUUUUCUUUUUGUUUAGUUUGUUUUUGUUUUAGUUUCUGACUUAGUUUUGUUUUCCUUGUUUUGUGUUACUUUUGAUAUUUGAUUUAGUUUUCUUUGAUUUCAGGGUCUAGAGAAGUAAGACAUGGAUUUUGCUAACAUUCAAGCUCAAUUGGCGAAUCUUACUUCUCAAUUGUCACAGAUUGCCGGAAGGACUACAAUGCAAAAUGUCCCUACAUUUGGUGUGUCUUAUGGGCACGGAUAUCAAACUCAUCAACAUCCUCAAUUCACUGUGAACGAAGAUGCUUGGGGUUAUCAAGGCUAUGAUCAACCAAGCAACAACAUGUUUUCCAACGCUUACAAUUCGGCUUGGAGAGAUCAUUCAAAUUAUAUGUGGGAGGAACCUCAACAAUUCCAACAAAAUGGAUAUUGGCAGCAAGAGGAGGAGUUCUAUUCAAAACCUAUGCAAUAUGCUCAAUCAAACUCAGGUUCGUCAAUAGAUUACAAUCAAAUUUUUGAUGAAUUAAAUUCUUUGGUGCAGGGCUCAAAAAUCAAGCCAAUGAGGCUCAACAAGAUGGAUAUUGGCAGCAAUCUGAGGAGUUUUAUUUAACGCCUAUGCAGCCACCACCGCAUACCCCACAACAAUUCCAAUCAAAUUCAAGUAUGUCCAUGGAUAGUGAUCAAAUUCUUCAAGUACUAACCUCUUUGACGCAGGACCAACAAAAUCAAGACAAGAAGUUGGAUAAAUUGAUGAGUCAAAUGGGAGAGAUUAUGGAAUUCAUGGUACAAAUUCAAGAGCAAAGUGAACUCUCCAGCUCAACUGUUGAAAAUUCGAAGGAAGAUUUGAAAUCCACGAUGCUAUCACUUUGGAAGGUGACAUGAAGGAUGAAGCUGUCCCAGAACCAUCCAAAAACAGCCCGAACAUGGAUGAAUUGCUGCUGCAAGCAGAAGAGGAGGAGGACUACCUGGGCAGUUUAGAAGAAUUCUUGCUGCAAGCUCCUCAAAUCCAUAUGUCAUCCAACUCAGGUGAGGAAGUUCUAAAUUCACUUCAUUCUAACAUUAUUCCACCGAAUGUCCUUUGUCCUUGCAGGUUUUUGAUUCCAAAUAUCAAAGAGAGUGAAAAAGACAUUGUGGAAGCUCUUCCAAAGGUGCAAAGUGAUAUCCCAAUUCUUGGUGCACUAAAACAAGUUCCUGAUGGUAUUGAAACGUUCAAAGAACCUUGCACACCAAGAAAAGGGAUUCAAGAGAAUGAAGUGGUUGAAGCAUAUCAAGAAUACAUCCAAGAGGUUAUGCAUGAGACAAUCAAGCCCAAAGCAGUUGAGUUUGAUGACACGGGACAAGCCACAACCAUCAUAGUAAACCUGGCCCAGUUCAAAGUCCCGGAAAUGUUCAAAGAUGUGGUGUUUGUCAUUGAGUUUGUGUCGGAAAAAGAAAGUAAGCCAUCUUCUCCAAUUUCAAUUUUAAUUUAUACUAACAUGUUCUGAUUUUGAUGAUUCAGGCACCCACUCUUGAAUUUAAACCAUUGCCGAAUCAUUUCAAGUAUCACCUCCCAUUAAAAGAUAAAUUCCAUGCUUUGGAGCCGAGUGGAGUUUAAAGGAAAGAUUCGUCCGGCUAAAGACGUUAAAUCAAGCGCUUCUUGGGAGGCAACCCAAGCAUUCAACGAAGGGAGAUUUUGGAAUCGCUACCAAAUCAGAUUUGCAUUCUUACACCCUUAUCUUUACUGCUUUCAUUUUGUUUUGUUCAGUUAGUUGUGUUAUUUGGUUGAUUUCUGUGAGUUUGUGUUAUUUAGUUUAAGUGUGGGGGAAGGUUAAACAAAGUUUUUUUUUUACAUUGAUUUACAUAUUUUACAUUGAUUUAAAAAAAAAAACAAAACAAAACACACCAAAAAAAAAAUAAUAAAAAUAAAAUAACAUUAAAGUAAAAAUAUUUUACAAUGAUGUGUAAACUAAUAGCAUUCAUUGGUCAGGUGGUGCUUCAGUAGUCGGCGGAGCUUCAGUAGUCGGCGGAGGUUGAUCAGUUGGAGCUUCACUACGCGGUGCCGCCCCAGAAGACGAAGGCAGAUGCGGUUAGAACAAACCCACAAACCUCCGGUGAUCAAGUAAAAUCUGACCAUCAUUUUCCUGCAACUGGUCAAUUUUCCUCUUCAUGUUUGUGGCAUAAUUGUGUGCAAGCUUGUGCAAUUGUUUAUUUUCAUGCUUGAGUCCUCUAAUCUCCUCUUUGAGACUCUGUAUUUCAGCCACCAACGAUUCGACGUGACGGGUUCGAGCAAAUAGGCGUUGGGCCAUGUUGGACACAGAACCCGCACACUGCACGCUAAGAGCCAGAGACUCCUUAACCGCCAAUUCAUCAGACCGUCUAGCGAGCAGUCUGUUAUCUCUGGGGGUGACAAGGUUUCGGGCCACCACCGCAGCUGUCAUUUCAUUUUUCAUCACCGAAUCCCCCACGGUAAGGGGACCGGUAGGGGAUAUGAAGGAUGGGCGCCAUAUGUUGUCUGGUGAAGGCGGAGCUGCCUCUUCACCAAUGUUCAAGUCAAAACGACGAUCGGAAGGGCCAGACAUUUUUCAGAAUGGUAAAGAAAGAAGAGAUCGGACAGAUUAAGAUUUUGGAAGUGCAAGAAGGGAGUGUUUAUAGGAGAGAGCUCAAGUGUGUGUGGAACAAAAUUAACGCCUCUAUAAAAAGAAGAAAUCAAAGAGGCGCUCCUCAGAAAUCGAAGAAGCGUCAUCUCGCAAAUGGAAGAGUCGGGGCUCCUUUCUCAAAAGUCGGAUUCUUUUCUCAAAAGAGGCGUUUCAUUUCUUAAAGGCUGGGCUUGCUCAAAAACCACGAGCCUAACCCCGGAUUUCAAAAGAUCAAGUUGUCCAGACGUAUCGUCACUCGUCACAUGCAACUGGCAGCUUUGCGGAAAUUACGGGCAGCUUUGUCAGAAAGCGCGUAAUUUAUACUAUUCAUCCAUCCACCGGCUGCCGACAAUGAGUGAGGGAAUAGUUCCGGUUGUGAAGAAAAGUCCUAUAAGUAUCUACCUUCGCCUUCCACAGCAAAGGCACACCCUCUCAGCACUUCUUCAUCUCUGAAAUGGCGUUCCAACAAACCCUCUCAAGUCACUCUGUAUUUUUCAUCCCCUGGGAUACCCCUGCAAACAACCCAUCCAGAGCACAAGUAUUUCAUAUCAUAAAGGUUGAGAGCACGAGUAUCUCAUAUCAUGCUUUCUCCCUGUCCUUUCUCCAGUCAGCACCUGCUCUCGAGUACUCAUCAUCUUAUGUUUUCGCUUCGUCUCUCACGUAUAAGGGAAGUGAAGAUGAUACCUCGAAGCAUGUGGAGACAACGUGCUGAUUCAUCCUCAACUAAGGACAAGGAGAAAGAGAGCAAGAGAUGGGCACUUGGAAAGAUUGAAGAAAGAAACAGACCAACACUUCUCCCUCGUGCCUGCCCGUCGUGCAGAAGAAACAAGCAGAGAAGAAUGCAGCUUGCACAAUCAUCCCAGUGGAAGGAGUCUGAGAUGAAGAACUAGAGAAGCUGCCACAUCUGCUUGGAGAACAAAUAAGGAACUGCAACAUCACCAAAGAGCAAAGCUUCGCCGUACAAUAUCAUCAAAUCAUCACUUGCAAGUAAAAAGCUAAGUGUCACCCCGUUCAAGAGGAAAGCUGUGGAAAGUCAACAAGCACGACCAAUGAUCACUUAUUAGUUCUAUUCAUUGUCUUUUAUCGUGAUUUUCAAUUUUUCGUUUGCAAUUUUUUUUACAUUUUCUUGCGUUACUUAACUGAAUUAUUUCUUUUCUUUGCAGGAAUUUUUGAUUAUUUCCACCCUUGAAGUUGAUUGCAGAAUUUUAGCUUGGGGGGGUCAUCGCUUGGUUUUACUGCAAACUAGGGAAGUUUUCAGUCCAAUUGUUUUAUUUUGUUUCUUAUUAUUUUUAUUUGCAUUAUAGUGUUUUCUGACAUUGGGGACAAUGUCCAGUUUAAGUUUGGGGGUAAAGAGUAUAAAAAUGACCAAAUUGAAAUUUUUUUUCUACCUUCAACUACGAACGAGUUUCAUUUGUUUCCAUGUUGUUGCUUUUUGUUUUCUUUAAAAAAAAAAAAAAAAAUUUAAAAAAAAAAUCGGAAAAUUUAAAAAUCCAAAAAUAUUGUCUUGUUUCCCUUAUUGUUUUGAAUUAGAUUUUUGUUAGUUUCCAGACCCAAUGAUAUAAUUGGAUCAAAUUUGAACCAUGAUCAUCAAGAACUUAGUUAACAUGUGUUUUGUGAAAUUCCUAAUUCUCUUGUUAGUUUUGUACAUGUUUGACCAUCUUUGAAAAACCAAAUGCACAUAGCCUUGUUAAUGUGAAACUAAAGUAUGACUUAAAGCUUCAUAUGUGAAUUUAGUGACCAUAUACAUCCUAUGUGAGUUUUUGAGCCGAUUGAAAGUGUGUGCAUUUUUCAUACACUCCUAUUCUUUCAUGUGUGAUGAACUUAUGUGAGAUACAUCUCUAGAACUUGCGUAACGAUCUUUCGAAAUGUUUGUCAUUGAUUGCAUGAAUUUGGAAAUGAUAGAGGCAUUAGGUUUACCACUAUGACCCAAAUAACCAUGUUUCCCAAAUAAAAAUGAUAUCAUUAGAUUGCCAAUUUGAGCCGUGUAUAUUGAGCCUUUUAUUUCUUAUCACCAGAUAUGUCUACCCUUAUACCUGAAACAUUUUUCCUUACCCUUUCCAAGCAAGCUAGUGAGCAAUGUGAGAUUGUCUUAUGAGAAAUAUUUGUGAAGUACUUUGAAGGUGUUUGGCAAAAGAAUAAGUGUGGGGGUAUUUCAUGUUUGUAUUUAAAAAAAAAAAAAAAAAAAAAAAGAAAAAAAAAAGAAAAAGAAAAAGAAAGAUUGUAUACAAAGAAAAUAAAAAGUUUUUCAAGUUUCAGUUAAGGGUGUGGUUGGAGGUGCUAGAAGAAUCGCUGGAAAGAUUGAGUUCUUAUAAAUCUAAACAAAAGAAUUGCUUGCAAUGUAGCUUGGAACUUGUGUUUACCUAUUCUUUCAUUUCAAUAACCCUCUCCCUAAACCUCAUUACAUCCAAUAAAAGUCCUCUUGAUUUAAGUUUUGCAAUUAUGAUUGUGGAGAUGAGAUCUUUAUGCAAGCUUAUGGUAGAAAUUUCACAUUUGAUUCUUUGAGCGAAACACAUUUAAACUAAACAAAUGUGUGAUUGAGUGUAUAUCCCGUGAGAAGGUCGCUAGUUUGCAUAUGAUGAUUUUAAAAAUAAGAACUUGAAAUUACAUUAGCAUGGCUAUCUCACACACUACACUUCAAGGAUGAUUUAAAGAUUACUGCUAAUAUUUGAAUUAGGAAGAUGAACUUGGAUUAGUUCCUUGAUGCUAGCUAUGGUUCUUGAUGAUUUGUUUUCUUGAAUGAAAUUCUAUGAGGGUCACAUAGGGGGAAACUAAUAUUUUUCAUGUUAUUACUUUUUCAUGUUUUCUUUGUUUUGCUCGAGGGCUAGCAAAUGCUAAGUAUGGGGGUAUUUGAUCGGAUCAUAUUUAUAUAUAUUUUUACUUCAAAUUCACUCGUCUUUUCUUUGUUAGUUCCUUAUAUUUUUGAGCUAUUUACGUUAUUUUUGUGUUUAUAGGAUUUGUUAUGCAAAGAAAAUAAAAAUAACACAAAUGAGUUUUAAAUAAUAAAUUCGUCGAAAAUUGCUUUAGUCGUUCUCAUUCUGUCAUGGGUUAUUGGUAGAAUUAUGUCACGGCAUAAACAAAGGAAGUGGAUGGCACACAGAGAGGGGAGACAGAGAAGAGUGCGGGAUAAGAGAAAAGGAAUGCAUGAUGGAAGAAUAAAGAAAAGAACACAGAGAGGAAUAAAGCAGCAGGAAGUCAGUGUGUAAAAAAAAAUAUAAAGAAAGCAAGAAGUGGAGGACUAACGGAAAGCAGAGAAAAAAAAGAAACAGAAAUAAAUGAAAUGGGAGACACGGACUGGUGGCAUAAAAGCAAGAAAAGAAGAAUAAGAAGGGUGGAUGGCAGACUGGCAGAAAAGAUAAAAAGAUAAAGGUCAGAAGCAGGAAAUAUAAGAGGGGGAAUUGGAAGGAGGCGCGGGGAGGAUACAAGCUGCCUUUGGCAGCGUGAGAUAAACACGGGUAGAGGGACUGACAGAGAGCAGUGAGGAGCAGAAAGCACAGCAGAAGCAACUGAGCUGCCCUGGCAGCUCUGAAAAGCAGAAAAAGAAAAUAAAAAGGAGAGGUCAGCGUGAGCCUCGGGGAGACAGCAGAAAUAGGGCAGCGGGGAGAGAGGCGAACGUGGAAAGGAAAGCAGAAGAAGAAGGCGCAGGAGAGAGGACUGAGCAAGCUGCCUUGCGCAGCGUGAGCCUCGGGGAGGAGAAAAACAGAAGCAGCAAGCUGCCUUCUCUCUUGGUUAAAUCUUUCCAAACUUAUAUUUCAUUUCUAUUUUAAUAAUGUGUAACUAAAUUUAUUUUGGCUAGAGGUUAAUUCAAAGCCAUGAAUAUAUUUGUAAUAUGAAUUGAUUACCUUCAGUUGUGAUUUAUGAGUUGUGAUUUAAUUUGCUUAACUGCUUGAUUGAUAACUUAGUUUUGUAUGUCGAUUAAGAAUGCAUACUUAAUUUACAUGCAUGAAUUUGAUGCUAGAAUAUAAGUGAAUUUCACCUAAUCGUUAUGAAUUUAUAUUCACAAGUAGUGAAGGUUGUUAUCCACAAUCGUGUUAAGUGAAUUCUAGGCUGGAUUAACAUGCGUAUUCCAUAGUUAUGAAUGCCUAGUCAAUGUUUAUGAUUUCCGUUGAACUUAAUGAUCUUUGUUGAAUGUCUCUAUCAUGUGUAUUCCAUAGUUAGGGACUUUGAUGAGGAAUAAUUUGGUUGUAAUGCGUAUUCCAUUCAAUCCAAUGAAUCUAGAGAAAUCUAAGAGUUAAUUUAAGCGGACCUAAUUAAUUUGGAACAUUGUCAUUCACAAUUUAUUGAAAGAACAACUGAAAAUCAAUUUAGGUUGCAUAUGUGUCAUGUGUGGAGAAAAACCCUCUAGCUAGUCCGUCAUCUAUCCUUUCACCUUAAUUUCAUGCUUUUGUCAAUUCUGUAAUUUAUUUAAGUUUAAUUUACUUCUCGUCAAAACCAAACCCCCCCCCAAUUAUUAAAUUAUAUUAUUUAGUUAGUUUUCAUUGUUGUUAGUCUUUUAAUUCAAUUUCCGUCCAUUUCAGUUCCUAGUGUCUAAUUUGAUUGUUUUCAUUAUUUUGAGUCAUUCUAAGUGUGUUUCGAGUUAUUAGAGUUUUUAGCCUAGUUUUGUGUCCUUGAGUCUUGUUUAAUAUUUUUUAAAUUAAUUUAGAAUAGAUUAGCAAUCCCUCCUAAUCCCCGGCCUAGAACGAUACCAUACUUACAUCUAUACUACAAUUGUCAACAAGAGGGUUUAAUUUGUGUGCUUAUAAUAUUUCGCAUCAGUCCCUUUGUGAUAUUUUUGAGUUAAACUAGUUGCAUUUUACCCUCUUUUGUGUUGGUGUGUAGCUAAUCAUAUUUUGGAGAUCAGUUGAGGACAUAUAAGGAAAAAUGGGGCUAAAAGUGGAGAAUUGAAUAAGGAUGCUGAUGUAGACAAAGAAUUAAAACUGGAAACUAAAUAUGGUGAUGAAUAUGCUCCGUUACUGGGAUGUCUUGGUAUUCUAUAAUAGCCUCUUUAACCUUAUAAAACAAAGAGUUUCAGCCACUUUUACAUAAGCUUCCCCUUGGGGUGGCCCAGAGCUAUCUCUAUUCUCUUUCUUUAGCAUUUCUUCGAGAAACAAAAUCUUUUCUCCAUUCACCAUCUGUAGCCACCAAAGAAACCAUGCAGCCGUGCUAUUCUUGGAAAAGUUCAACAUCAGAAUUGCUUCAAGGGGAUUUCUUGUAUGAACUUUAAUUUCACUCAUGUUGUUCUUGAUAUUUAUAUAAUCUGUAAUCAUGUUGUGUAAUUAAGUUCAUAGCUAGGGAUUUUGAUGUAGCCUUGCAAAACUAUUCUAUGUUAUUAAGUUAAAGUAUUUGAUUCUUCAAUCUGUUUUCUUGUUUCAUUCAUUGAUUUUAUAGUUCAAUUUGUUUGUUUAUCUUAAUGUUCGAUCACCAUUAGGGUUUCUUACAGAUUAUAUGGUCAAGUUUAUAGUACACAUCAUGCUUAAUCUUGGUGGACAUGUGAAUGAAUGAAGAAACUGCUUUGCAUACAUCCUGCGGUGAUUUCUUUGGUUUUUUGAAGUUUUAUUAUUCUUAAUGGAUUCUUAGUUGGUAAUCUAAGUUGAACAUCACAACUAGGUUGCAGAUUAGGAGUACUUGGUCACACCCACACAUCAAAUGGAUGAUCAUAAAUGAGUAAAAUGAACCCUAGUUGCAAAUUGGAGAGCUGAAUGCUUUUUGACUAAUUUUCAUGGAAUUGGCUUGUAAUGGUGAAAUCGGUAUCCCUAGUUCCAUGCCCAUUAUUUUUUAAUAACCUAUCAUUUAUCUUUAUCUUUCUUUCAUUUUUAAGUUAUUUAAGUUUUCAGUUGAAAAAUCUAAAUCCAGUUUGCAUUUUCAUUGUUUAGUUAGGUUUCACAUAAAGCUUGUAAUUUGUAGAGGUCUAAUUAGUCUCUGUGGUUCGACACCCUUACUUGUGCCAUUAUAUUAUCCUUAUAUUUUCACUUGAAAGGAACAUAACAACACGCCCCCACAUGUGGUGGCCGGCUGCCCCGACUCGCCGGAAAAUUCAACUAUUUCCAAAAAUUACCAAAUUUUAAAGGCAUGUAGAUCUCAAUGAUGGCAGUAAUUUUCAUACCUGUGGCCAAGGCCGAUUUGGCCGGGAAAAGCUCCAAUUUCCCUCGAACCCGCUUGAAACCCUAAAACGGGUGUGUUUCGAUCCGUCACCUCCAGUGCUCCGCUACGCCCAAACCUGUUUGGGCUUUGUUCCUAGCCUCUAGAGGAGUGUUUUGAUGAUGGCAAUUGAAGGAAAAUGUUUAACAUUUGGUGGAUCACCGUCGAGCUCACUUGGACCCGUUGGUGAGAUCCCUAGCAAAAUCAAGGCCAAACACGUCGGGUUUGGUUGAAAAUUGAUGGGAAAGUGGCAAGGGAAUGAUUUGGUAGUGGUGGAAAGCUUUUAUUUGCUCGGAAAACACCACGAGGGCGUCAGAAAUGGACGCGGCCAAACUGGGUCAGGUUGAAAGAAACGGGUCAAUAGGGAAGAAGUUUUGGUUGGGUGUCACUCCCUUAUCUCCUUUCCUUCCUUCUCUCCUCUCUCCCAUUGGUUCCCUCAUUUCUUCUCUUCUGCAACUCUUUUGCUACCAUCUAGCAGCUUUUAAUUGUUUCUUUGUUUUUUUUUAACACUUACUUAAUUUCAAACUUUCUAACAAUAUAGCUAAAAUUCUAAAAUUAAUGAAUUUAAAAUUAAAUUAAAAAUCACUUAAACGAAAAAUGAAUUUGAAUAAUGAAAUACGUAAUUAAUGAAUGGAAUUCCGAGAACGAGAUUUCACAUCUGGACUAUUUUCCGCAGUAAUAAAAUCAAACGAUCAUGCGUUUGACAACCAUUGGAACAUAAGCAAAUAAACACAUAUAAUACGCUACUAAGCCCAUAAGAAUGCUUACCCAAAAGACCAAAAACAUAUUUGGUUUCAAAAGUAUGUAGUUUUUUUGUUUUGAGUGCAUUUGGACUAUUGACACACCCCGAUCCUAGAAUCAAGGCGUGCUGGCCGUCACGUGAGUGUGACGUAACCAAAAGUGCGAUGCGGAAGCAAAAGAUAUGAGAAAUGCGAAGGAAUAAAAAACCAACUACUAGCAGUAAUAUCCAACUAGCAUGCUAGAGUGAGAUUAAGUGUGCAGUACACAAUUUCAGAGCAUAAAAGAAACUAGGUGCAGUCAAGUAGGACUAUAAUUAAAUUACAACACCCGUAGGUGAGUCCUACAUGCAGGAAGUCUGUCAGAACGCCGAAGAAAACCUCGUGAGCCACAAAUUGCUAACUAGAACCUGAAGGGGCGCAAAAACAAAAUUGAGUGGGUCAGUAAAACGAAAGUUUUCCAAAACAUUUCAUUAAAAACAUUUCUAACCCCUCACUGUAAAACCUGUAUACUUUCCCAGAAAAUAACAUAAUAGUAUAUAAAACCUCAUACGUCACAGAUCACCAAUCUAUCACAAAUCCAAGAAUAUGCCAUGCCAUAAAUGUCAAUAACAAAACAUGGAUGCAUCAAAAUAACAGGUGACAUAAAGAAUUAACCGGAGACCCUGCAGUUGGUCAUGUACGGUUAAUUCCAUAGCUCAAUAUCCAACCCAGCCGGAGUCACCACGGUGACCUGUACGGCACUACUUUGCACAUAAGUCGGAACUACCUGAAGUAGUCUGUACGACAAGAAUGGUGUAAUGAUACGCUCUAGUGCUUCUCUCAUCAAUCAUCUGCGCGCGUAAUCUAAGGUCACCUACUAGUCGAAACCACCUCUAGUGGUCUGUACGACUAGCAUGUCAGAACCCUCUCAUGGUCUGUACGACAUGCACCUACUUGGAUCCAAGGUGAGCGUGCGGUGCGGUGAAUAAUAUAAGCACUAACACCAGGGGUGCAGGUUAUGAGCUCUCAACACAAUUCACAUCAUCAAUGAUUCACAUCAUUAACAUAAAACUCACCUGAUACUCACCUGUGCGUCCACAACACCAAUUCACACAUAUAUAUGCAUCAAUAUCAAUUCAUAUAAUUCAUAGUAUGCAUGCAUGGCGUUUGAAAACAUACUUUCAUAUAAAUUCAAUUUCUGGGAAAAUCAAUAGUAUAUAGGUAUAUACUGAAAAUAAAACUACCCACUCACUGGUAAGUGAUCACUCAUAUAUUUCAUACAUUUAUACCAUCCAUUUCUAAAGUAUUUGUAAUGUUUUUGUGUGAAAAUUAUGGCAUUUUACCUUAUCUUGUGUUAAUGUACAGUUAAUUUUGUGUUAGCAUUGUUUUCACAGAAAUAAUGGAAUGAUAGAGGAAUAAAAGAAACAAAAGAAAAAGAAAAAAAAAUAUAAAGAAAGCAAGAAGUGGAGGACUAACGGAAAGCAGAGAAAAAAAAGAAACAGAAAAUAAAUGAAAUGGGAGACACGGACUGGUGGGAUAAAAGCAACAGAAAAUAGAAGAAUAGGCAAAAAGAGAGGGCAUGGCAGGCAAGGAAAUGUGGAGGAAUGGCAAAAGAAAUAAAAAUAAUAAUAAAGAAAUAAGGGAGUGGAAGGCAGCAAGCACAAGGGGGGAGACGGAAGGCAGGAAAUAUAAGGGAGUGGGGCAGCUUUAAUCAGAAAAGGACACGGACCGAGGAGAGAGGAGAGAAUAAGAGAAGGCAGGGCAGAGGUCAGAGGACAGCUGCCUGGCAGCUAAUGAGCAAAGCAGCAAGCUGCACAGAAAACGGGCAGGAAAUAAAAAGAGUGGAGGAUUGGGGGGGAUGUCAGAGGGAGAGAAGGUCAGACGGAGAGAUAGGAAAGAAACUGACACGGACGGGCAGGGAGCGUGAGAAUAGGCGCUGCCUUUGGCAGCGAGAAAGGUCAGCGAAAAUAAAAAGAAGCAGAAGGCUGCCUUUGGGCAGCGUGGGAAAGCGGGAAGGAUAGAAGCGGAAAGAGGAGAGACGGGCAGCGGGAGACUGACGCGGAAAGGAAAGCAGAACAGCUGCUUGGCAGCGUACGUGGGGAGAGAGGAAACGCAAAAAAGAGGGAAGUCAGGGAGGACGCCAGUGAAGAAAGCAGCAAGCUGUUCUCUCUCUCGGUUAAAUCUUUCCAAACUUAUAUUUUAUUUCUGUUUUAAUAAUGUGUAACUAAAUUUAUUUUGGCUAGAGGUUAAUUCAAAGCCAUGAAUAUAUUUGUAAUAUGAAUUGAUUACCUUCAGUUGUGAUUUCU
rnacentral:lncRNA from 1 species